UUGCUGCCAUUUUUACUUUUCGUGAAAG
rnacentral:sRNA from 1 species